rnacentral:rRNA from 1 species
AUCGAACGCUGGCGGCAGGCUUAACACAUGCAAGUCGAACGAGUGGCGGACGGGUGAGUAAUGCCUGGGAAACUGCCUGAUGGAGGGGGAUAACUACUGGAAACGGUAGCUAAUACCGCAUACCAUCAGAUGUGCCCAGAUGGUAUUAGCUAGUAGGUGGGGUAACGGCUCACCUAGGCGACGAUCCCUAGCUGGUCUGAGAGGAUGACCAGCCAAACUGGAACUGAGACACGGUCCAGACUCCAACGGGAGGCAGCAGUGGGGAAUAGUGCACAAUGGGCGCAAGCCUGAUGCAGCCAUGCCGCGUGUAUGAAGAAGGCCUGCGGGUUGUAAAGUACUUUCAGCGGGGAGGCGUUACCCGCAGAAGAAGCACCGGCUAACUCCGUGCCAGCAGCCGCGGUAAUUC